GAUACCCACGUGCUUCGGGACAAGCGAUGAUGAGUCAAAUCAAGACAAGAAACAGGACAAAGAUGAGGACAAGCAGUUUAUCUCAAGAAAUGUGCCCCUUAACGAAGACGAGUACGAUGCCCUGUUUUCCCUACUAAGUGGUGAAGCUUCGUUGAAAGACUGGCCUAAAACAGAAAACAAAGCUUUACGGCAACGAGUGUAUAGAAAGCUGAAAAGCAACAAGUUCGAACUGCGUGAGGUCCAUGACCCAAUGACAGCGACAAAAGUCCGACGUAUCGUGCACACAGGAACAGGAUGCAUCGUAGCUAAGAAGUCAGAGCUCCCGAAAAUUGUUGACAAGUUCUA